AGCCCGCACCGCCACCUGCGCCCCCAGGUCCUGAUCUGUGGGCCUCUCCUACGGAUUCUUGGCGGUGCCGGCGUGGUUGCCGGGGCCCUUCCUGUGGGUGAAGCCGGUGGAGGAGAUUCGGAUUGGGGGAAACCCCUUGGUUGGCCCAGGCCGGCCGCGCCGACGACGACGCUCAAGGGCGUCGAUAUUCUUUUUGGAGACGUCGGUAUACAUCUGCUCCUCUACUCCCCUUCCUUGCCUCUCGGGUGAAAACUCUAACUCCGGUGGCCGGCN
rnacentral:lncRNA from 1 species